rnacentral:rRNA from 1 species
AAGCGUUUGGCAUCAGCCCAUGGCCCCCGACGAUCAUCCUGGCCUCGUGUCCGGUGCACUUGUCGGGGGUCGGGCCAGCAUCGGCCCCGUCCGUCGGAGAAAGGUCCAGAGGACGUGGCUCCCUCACGGGAGCGUUAUAACUCUGGGCGUCAUGCGACGUGACGGGGCCGAGGUCCACGGUGUUCUCGCCCAGGAUGCUGGCGUAAUGGUUCCAAGCGA